GAUGAACGCUGACCGAAUGCUUAACACAUGCAAGUCAACUUGAACUUCGGUUUGGGUGGCGGACGGGUGAGUAACGCGUAAAGAACUUGCCUCACAGCUAGGGACAACAUUUGGAAACGAAUGCUAAUACCUGAUAUUAUGAUUUUAGGGCAUCCUAGAAUUAUGAAAGCUAUAUGCGCUGUGAGAGAGCUUUGCGUCCCAUUAGCUAGUUGGAGAGGUAACGGCUCACCAAGGCGAUGAUGGGUAGCCGGCCUGAGAGGGUGAACGGCCACAAGGGGACUGAGACACGGCCCUUACUCCUACGGGAGGCAGCAGUGGGGAAUAUUGGACAAUGGACCAAGAGUCUGAUCCAGCAAUUCUGUGUGCACGAUGAAGUUUUUCGGAAUGUAAAGUGCUUUCAGUUGGGAAGAAAAAAAUGACGGUACCAACAGAAGAAGUGACGGCUAAAUACGUG
rnacentral:rRNA from 1 species